CGGGACAUCAAGUCCUUCCUGGAGUCAC
rnacentral:sRNA from 1 species